AUGCCAUGUGCUUGUCAUAGUCUCAAUCUCACUCUUUGUGAUAUGGAAAAAUCAUGUGAGAAAGCUGUUUCAUUUUUUGGAAUUGUUCAACGCAUAUGUGUAUUAUUUGCUGGCUCUACCAAAAGCUGGAAUGUUUUGCUUAAACAUGUUCCUAGUUUGACCGUGUAAUCAUUGUCAAAUACUCGCUAGGAGAGUAGAAUCAAAAGUGUUGCAACAAUAAGAUAUCAAGCCACUUAGUUAAGGUUAGGUUUGUCUCAGUUACGUCAUGCUUCUGACACUGAUCCUAAAGAGAAAAGUGAUGCAAAAAAUUUAUUUGAUGCACUUGGUCGCUUUGAGUUUCUAGUUGGUAUGAUUAUCUGGCAUUAUAUUCUAUUUGCUAUAAAUAAAGUUAGCAAGAUGUUGCAAUCGUCAAUCAUGUGCACUGACUCCGCUUUGAAGCAAAUAAAAGGUAUAAAGCAAUAUUUUGAGAAGUAUAGAGAUGAGGAGUUUUCUUCAAGUUUGAGCAUCUCUAACGUUAUUGUAACUGAAAUGGGGAUAGAGCCAUUGUUUCCAACGAACCGUCAUGCUAUAAGAAAAAACAGUUUAAUGUUUUGGUUGAUAUGGUGA
rnacentral:rRNA from 1 species